GAGUAACGCGUGAGAAUCUGGCUUAAGGACGGGGAUAACCACUGGAAACGGUGGCUAAGACCCGAUAUGCCGAGAGGUGAAAGUAAUUUAGCCUUGAGGGGAGCUCGCGUCUGAUUAGCUAGUUGGUGGGGUAAGAGCCUACCAAGGCGACGAUCAGUAGCUGGUCUGAGAGGAUGAUCAGCCACACUGGGACUGAGACACGGCCCAGACUCCUACGGGAGGCAGCAGUGGGGAAUUUUCCGCAAUGGGCGAAAGCCUGACGGAGCAAUACCGCGUGGGGGAGGAAGGCUCUUGGGUUGUAAACUCCUUUUCUCAGGGAAGAAAAAAAUGACGGUACCUGAGGAAUCAGCAUCGGCUAACUCCGUGCCAGCAGCCGCGGUAAUACGGAGGAUGCAAGCGUUAUCCGGAAUCAUUGGGCGUAAAGCGUCCGCAGGUGGCAUUUCAAGUCUGCUGUCAAAGGUCGGGGCUUAACUCCGAACAGGCAGUGGAAACUGAGAAGCUAGAGUAUGGUAGGGGCAGAGGGAAUUCCUGGUGUAGCGGUGAAAUGCGUAGAGAUCAGGAAGAACACCGGUGGCGAAAGCGCUCUGCUAGGCCAUAACUGACGCUCAGGGACGAAAGCUAGGGGAGCGAAUGGGAUUAGAUACCCCAGAAGUCACGCGUUA
rnacentral:rRNA from 1 species